CAUGAUCUCGAUUCCAUUGCGCAGCUAAAUUCAGAAGCAAGCAUCCAACAAGACUCAUACAUGAACUAACUACAAAUCACUCCCCAUAAAUCAUAACUCAUAACCAAUUGUACAGCAACCUUCAAAUUAGUAACAACAUGCUCCAAGCUGGAUAGAUCAUCAUCCAUUCAUAACCGUACACUACUUAAGAACAGCAUCAACUACCUGUCUGAAUGUUCUGAACCCCAAGGGGACGUCAAUACACGUAUGACAGCAUCACUCCUAAUCGCUCAACAACAAAUAUUCAGCAAUGCAUACUAAUUUGAUUGAUUUAGGGAAACACACCUCUUAGCCCAACCAGGUGCCUGUAGGACUGUAGGAACUUCAUCUUCCCGGUGGACAUCUCGGACACCAGCGGCGACGCCUUUCAUCUCACACCUUUUGCCAUGUCUUCCUCACAACCUGCUUGUCCGCGCUCAUGGCUAGUCCCGCCGAUUGCUCGGCAGCCGGUACCAAACGAACCACUGUGAACGCUGCCGGUUCCAUCGGGGUUGCACUCUCAUCCAAUUCCUCCAGAAAGGGGAAUCUGCAACCCUCCAUUGCAAGAAAAAAAAGCAAGCAAUCAACAAAUCGCGAAUUAAAACACCAUGCUUCUAAAAACGAUACUGAUGUUACCUGCUCAUGGGUCGCAUCAGCAACUCCAUCACCGCCAAUGGAGUCGCCCCUCUCCACCCCUGUCGUCUCAGCAAUUCGACCCUUUUGACCAAAAACGAGUAAUAGAUCCUCAAAGUAUCAACCUAACCGAAAUUAAUUCUCUCCAUCUACACAAACCUGAAAGCGAACCUCCUGUGCCUUGGAUCAGCUUCCGUAGUUGUGCUCCUCAGGGUCUUCUGCUAUGUACUAAUCAUUGUCUUUGGACAGCAACAACAUGAUGAGAGCAAGGCAAUCGCAACGACACGACAUAGUGUUGUCAAACCCCGCCUUUCCCUGAAAAAAAAACACGAAAAAAGAUAGAACAUUUCAGCUAUAGCUCCUGCACAAAAUUAUUUGAAAUACUAACAAGUGUCAAAUCCUUAUUCCCAUACUGCACAGGGAAGGGGGGCAGCCCGGUGCAUGUAGGUCCUGCUUGCGCAGGGUCCGAGGAAGGGUCCGACCACUUUGGGUCUAUAGUACGCAACCUUAC
rnacentral:lncRNA from 1 species